rnacentral:rRNA from 1 species
CAGUAGCCGCGGUAAUACGAAGGGGGCUAGCGUUGCUCGGCAUCACUGGGCGUAAAGGGUGCGUAGGCGGGUCUUUAAGUCAGGGGUGAAAUCCUGGAGCUCAACUCCAGAACUGCCUUUGAUACUGAAGAUCUUGAGUUCGGGAGAGGUGAGUGGAACUGCGAGUGUAGAGGUGAAAUUCGUAGAUAUUCGCAAGAACACCAGUGGCGAAGGCGGCUCACUGGCCCGAUACUGACGCUGAGGCACGAGAGCGUGGGGAGCAAACAGGAUUAGAUACCCGUGUAGUCCCUGUCUCUUAUAC